rnacentral:tRNA from 1 species
GAGUGAGGCACGAAGCAACAAAAACUGCUAAUUUUUGUACCCCUGGUUAAACUCCACGGCUCAGCUCG